rnacentral:rRNA from 1 species
ACGAACGCUGGCGGCGUGCUUAACACAUGCAAGUCGAACGGAAAGGCCCUGCUUUUGUGGGGUGCUCGAGUGGCGAACGGGUGAGUAACACGUGAGUAACCUGCCCUUGACUUUGGGAUAACUUCAGGAAACUGGGGCUAAUACCGGAUAGGUGCUCCUGCUGCAUGGUGGGGGUUGGAAAGUUUCGGCGGUUGGGGAUGGACUCGCGGCUUAUCAGCUUGUUGGUGGGGUAGUGGCUUACCAAGGCUUUGACGGGUAGCCGGCCUGAGAGGGUGACCGGCCACAUUGGGACUGAGAUACGGCCCAGACUCCUACGGGAGGCAGCAGUGGGGAAUAUUGCACAAUGGGCGGAAGCCUGAUGCAGCAACGCCGCGUGCGGGAUGACGGCCUUCGGGUUGUAAACCGCUUUCGCCUGUGACGAAGCGUGAGUGACGGUAAUGGGUAAAGAAGCACCGGCUAACUACGU